GUCAUACGUAUACACCCGUGGCACACGUACAGUGGGCCAUACGUAUACACCUCUAGAACACAGGUAUAGCUGGCUGUACGUAUACACCUGCAAAUCACAGGUAUAGCUGGCUAUAUGUAUACACCCGAAGAACACAGGUAUAGCUGGCCAUACAUAUACACCCACAGCACACGUACAACAGGCCAUAUGUAUACACCCGCAGAAAACGUGUACAGCCGGCCAUUCGCAUACAUCCAUAAAACACAGAUACAGCUGACCAUACAUAUACACCCGCAGCACACGUACAGUGGGCCAUACGUAUACACCCGCAGAACACAGGUACAGCUGGACAUACGUAUACACCCGCAGAACACAGGUACAGCUGGACAUACGUAUACACCCGCAGAACACAGGUAUAGCUGGCCGUACGUAUACAUCUGUAGAACACGGGUAUAGUUGGCCGUGCGUAUACACCCGCAGAACACACCUGUAGAUCACGGGUAUAGCUGGCUAUACGUAUAAAACUGCAGAACACAGGUAUAGCUGGCCAUACAUAUACAUCUGCACUGCAGAACACAGGUAUAGCUGGCCAUACGUAUACACCCGCACAGGUAUAGCUGGCCGCACGUAUACACCCGCAGAACACGUGUACAGCUUGUCAUACGUAUACACCCAAAGAACACAGGUAAAGCUGGCCAUAUGUAUACACCUGCAGAACAUAGAUAUAGCUGGCCGCAUGUAUACACUGUGCACAUGUAGCACAUGCCACAGCCUCACUUUAUAUCUAAGUAAUGUAAAAGCAAUUAAAAUAUGUCAUGGUUACCAGUGUACUGUGAUGUGCUUAAGCAGUGUGUUAUUAGUGAUAUGUAUUAUGAUUAAUUUGAUCUAAAAUAAAUAUUCUAUUCAUGAUAUAAUAGAAUAACCUACAAAACCCUACAUUUACUGUUGCCAAACUAUUUAUAUUCAUCAUUUUAAUUAUAUCAUUUGCUUUCAGAAAUGUACCUGCAGUGUUUGUCAUGAAUGCCUUAAUUUGUUUUAUACAAGCUGCUUAUAAUUUAUUUAACAAAUUAAUACAUAAGCAGGUUUUUGUCUGGUAGGAUAACCGUUAUAAUUCCGUGUAAUUUCCCUUUGUAAUAUAUGAAACUCUUUAUUCCCAGUACAUCUGGUUUGUAAAACCUUCUUUUAACAUGUAGUAACAGCAUUUAGCAGCAGCAUACAACUAUGUGGGAAUGCCUGGCUAAAAUUUCUGUUAAAAUAUAUUUAUUGAUGCAUUGUUCUUUGCAUGACUGCUUAAAAUAUUGUUUACUGUUAUGUAGGUAAACAAACAUACAAAUAAACACUAUAGACUAUGAUUAUCUAAUAGAGGUUGUGUCCAUUUAUUGUAAUUAUCGUUACUGGCCCAAUCAAUUCUUUUACUUACAAGUAAAAUGUUCCCUGUUCCAUUGGCUGCAACCAAAGCCCAUAAUAGGAUCAAUCCACCCCAUACUUACCAGGUGUACUUUUUAAUACACUAAUCUUGUUAGUAAUGUUAAAAAUGUAUUUUUAAUGUUUAUCCUUGUGCUUUUUUGGAGUCAUUUACCCUUUACUCGUUACUAAUUACAGUAAGAGAAAAUUUAAAGGGUGCCCAACUUAAAUGUGAUUUGUGCUAUUGAAUUUAACCAGCAUAACCUAGCAUAAUAAUCAUAUAAUUGAAACAAUACUGUUAAUAUGUUGGAUCUCACAUAUGGGUCUGAAUGUGUGCACACUGACAUCCUGUGCCACUGAUCACUCCGAUUUGUUGUGGUAUGUACGCACAUACAUGCUUAAUAUAUACAUUAUUUAACCAUAUUACAUGCUGUUUAUAUAAAGUGUGAUGUUUGUGGAAGUUUAAAAUGCUGAUGAAUUAUCACCAUUGAUUUUACAGUAUGUGUAAUUUAAUAAUGUACUGAACUGAUUUGAAUUGAAUUUAAAUAGAUUAAAAAUAGAUA